CCCUUAGAUGUUCUGGGCUGCACGCGUGCUACACUGAUAUUGCCAAUAUGUCAUUCUUAUCCGAAAUGGAUUGGGUAAUCAAGUAAUGAAAUUUCAUGCUUGGAAUCGGUAAUUGCAAUUUUAUCGUGAACGAGGAAUUCCUAGUAAGCACUAGUCAUCAGCUAAUGUUGAUUAUGUCCCUGCCCUUUGUACACACCGCCCGUCGCUACUACUGAUUGGGUGUUCAAGUGAGAUGCUUAGACCCUUGUUGCAUGGUUCAUUAUUGUGCUCCGAAAGGAAACAGUUUCAAGCUUGAGUGUCUAGAGGAAGUAAAAGUCGUAACA
rnacentral:rRNA from 1 species